AUAAAUUAUAAAAGUAUAUAUCUUUUAAAUUUUUAUUGUUUCUUUAAUGUUUUUAUGACCUUAUAAAUUACCUAUUUAUAUCACUAAAUUUCCAUGCUUUAUUUUUUUUUCCCCCUUUUCCUUCUAAACUUUUGAACGUGUCUUUAAGCAUCUUUGUUCUUAGAUUUUGAUUGCUUGAAAACAGUAAAUUAUUUUUAAAAAAUCAAAGAAUACAUAAUAUUACAUCACUAAAUAAAUUCCAUUGUAUGGUUCUAUCUACAAAUCAUGCCUAAAUUUAAACCGUGCCACAACCAUAUUUGAACUAGUAUUAAAAAGAAAGGUUAGCAAAAUAAAGUGUCGUACGUUAGAAAAUAGAGACCAUACUUUUUGUAUAGUCUUUAUACAAUGCUAAUAUCAGCACGUUUUAAAAUAUAAUUUAUUGUUAAAUGUUUAUGUUUUUUAAAUUUAAUUUUAAGACUUGUGUAUAUGUACGGUGAUGAUUUUCAACUUUGUUAUGUAAUAAUAUAAUAAUGAAAAUCGUCCCAAAAAAUGACAUAUAUAUGCACUCCGCACAACACAGCCGACGGUCAUCAUCAUCAUCAUCGUCAUAAGUAGACAUCUCAAGAGGCCACAUUUUGGCAUAUAUGAAUCAUGCCAAGAAAAACAAAAGUCAAAAACAAUCAAUUUACAAUUAGUCCAUCAUUCCAUCAAUCAAAGCCAAGAUUUCUUUUCUUUUUUUUCCAUAAAAAAACAUUGUUACAUGAGAGGCUUGUUUUUUAUUAGACCCCCUUUUUUUCAGCAAAACAAUGAAGAAACUUUGGAUUAGAUGGCAAAGGAGGUUGCUAAUUCCUAGACUCACACAUCAAACCAUCCCUUAGUCAUUUUAAACCUGCUUUUAAAUUCAACAAAAGCCAUCAUGCACGCUUUUUAUGUUCUUUUAUACUUGAUGUCUCCUAAGGAGAUGUUAGUAUUUUUUUUAAAAUUAUUUUUUAAUGAAUAGCCACUUUUCCAUGUGAGACUUUAAUGACAAUUGCAUUACUCCAAUAUUACAUCACUAAUUUAAUGUUUGACACAAUUAAUGUCGAAUAGCCGGAUGAUUUUUCAAGCUGCUGCAGGAGGAGAUUGACUGUUACGGCAUUACUGGUUACUACUUACUAGUCAAAAAAACCAAACUGUUGAUAAAGGGUGGCCGAAACGUUCGGGUAUCUCUAUUUUAUUGUGUAUGUUAUUUGUUAAUAGAAAUGUCCGUAUAAAAUAUCAGGUCCUAUUCAUUAGGAUCUUGAUACGGUAUAUCAUCGUGUACUAUACAUCAAUUCUAUAGUUACUACUAAUAAUAUACGUGUAAUUUUUGUUGGUUAUAUUUUUGUGCACCGAUAGUAAUUGUGUGGGUCUAUCCAAAAAAAAAAAUUUGUGUGAGUUUGAUAUAGUACAUGAUAAUGUACGAUAACAAUUCCUUAUUCAAUACUCUUAGUUCGUUAGUGCGUGGUAUUAGUUUAACAUAUCAUAUUAUUUUUGUCUAUGGUGUGGUGUCUAUGCAAAUCACUCUUAUUGAUACUCUAUCUUAGUUGGUGGAUGAAAGAAAAUUUGUUCUGUUUUUAUUUUAAGAAAAAAAUAAUGAUAAUAUUCUAAGAAUAAUUAAAAAUAUAUAAACCACCUUAAAAUUGCGAGCUAAUAUGUUAUUAAUUAACAUGAGAAGAUCGGAUAGAGGAGGACUUGUUCAGGGCGCUAGUGGAUCAUAUCAUGUUGAGAUAGUACCAUCCACUAUCGUGGACUAAUCAAUCAGUAUGUUUGAUAAGUUUUGUCAGCUCAGUGGACCAAUAAUUUUAUUCGGUUUGGUGAGUUCCGUCGUAAGAUUUACAAAAUAAAUGAUAUGAUCAUUUAAAAUAAAAAAUAUAUAACCUCUAUCAAGAGACUAAUUUAUCUAAUGACAGGUCAAAUUUUCUAUUGUUAAAUAUUUUAACAUGCUAAGAGAAUGUGUCCGCUCACACAAUUUUUUUCCUAGGUCCUCUUUAAUGGAUGAGACCAUUGAUCAUAUUUUUAUUUAUUGCUAAACGCACUGUGCACACAGUAAGUAGUGGUGCUGAUGAAACAGCUGAUGCAAUGCUUAAGUAAGUGUGAAAUAAAUAUAUAAAUACUAACAAGGAAAUGUGCAAAUUGAAAUGUGUCUCGCUGGAAGUACGUGAUUGGCCAGCUCAUGCUUGCACUAUCACAAUCAUGGACCCCACUUCAGUAGAGCCUAGCACCUUGGAACAUCAUCAAUUUUGGUCCCCGGCUGCUAUCGUAAACUGGUGGUGGGUCCUGCGUUUCUCUUUCGUAUGAUUGCCACACCAAUGGAGCGUUUGAAUCACACGCGCAAUAUUGAAUUUACUCUUUUCAUUUGUUUUUUUAACCAGCUACAUAUUCUUGUCAUGAUCACAUUCCAAUUUGCGUGAGCUCUGAAAAUUAGCCAUUUAAACGGAUGGCUUGGUAACAUGUUUCUUGCAAUUACUUCAUAUACUCUUAAUGUGUUUUGUGAAAAUCACUUCAAAUUUCCACAUUAUUAUUUAAUCUUAUUUAUUUCCACUCUUCAAACUAAAUUUACAUGACUUUCACAUAGAAAAUGUAAAUUUAUUUUCUUUUUUUAACAUAAAUUUAUAUUUCGACCUCAUCAUAUUUUCAUAAGAGAUCAUAAAAUAGUCAUGUUAAUCAAUAUAACAUUUUACUUGGAGUAUAAAUGAUUCACACAAUAACAAGUAAUUUUUAUGAAAAUUUGCAAUUAUGAACUUCGAACGUUUUUUAAAUGCAGACAUCUAACUCUUCGUAUGCAAAAAUACAAAAUUUAUUAUUUAUCAAUCAAUAAUGCCUUCAAACUCAUUUAUUUUUUUUCAGUAACCUUUUACAUUCAAAAUUAGACAUCUGUAUUUAAAAAGGUAUACAUAUAUAUGUAUUGUGGUUGGUUCUUAAACUUUAAUAAUGUUUGAUUAAAUUAAAGUGUGCAAUAAAAUACCACGUAUAAUAAAGUUUCAUGCCAAAGUGGAUCAAGUGUUAGCCACGCACACAAGUCAAGCGUGACAUAAUAUAUAGUAACAUCUCCAAAAUUAACAUUUGAUUUUCCCCAAAGAAAGGGAAAUCAAACUAGUAUAUAAAGGUGGGUGAGUGGGAGUUUUGUUCUUGGCUUUAUUAUUGGUGAAUGGUGAGUGAUUAAUUUCACUUCUGCUUAUUACAUCCAUACAAUCAGUCAUGGGGAGGCAACCUUGUUGCGACAAACUUGGUGUCAAGAAAGGCCCUUGGACAGCUGAUGAGGACAAGAAAUUGGUCACUUUCAUUCUCACCCACGGCCAUUGUUGCUGGCGUGCCGUGCCGAAGCUCGCCGGACUCCGUCGAUGCGGCAAGAGCUGCCGUCUCCGGUGGACUAACUACCUCCGGCCUGACUUGAAAAGGGGUCUCCUUAAUGAAGCUGAAGAGCAACUUGUUAUUGAUCUCCACGCCCGCCUUGGCAAUAGGUCUAUAUAAAUUAAUUAUUAAUUAUACCAUAAUGCCUUAUAGCUAUAGUGAUAUGUACUAAAGUUUAUUAUUUUGUUUGUUAUUAUCAACACAAUGUUGAAUGGUCUCGAUUUCUUUAGGUGGUCAAAAAUUGCAGCAAGAUUGCCGGGAAGAACAGAUAAUGAAAUCAAGAAUCAUUGGAAUACACACAUCAAGAAAAAGCUUAUUAAGAUGGGAAUUGAUCCCGUGACGCAUGAGCCUCUACAACAACAAGCCAACAUUACAGAAGAUCAGGCACCUAUUAAUUCUCAUGACGAUCAUCAGCAGGCUGCUAGCAACUUUGAUAUUGCUAAUGUUGGGGAGCAGCAGGAGAAACCAAGAAUCUGCAGUGAGCAAAAUUACUCGACAGAUCAUGAAUCCAAGAACAGACCUACUACUAGUGAUGAUGAUCUGAUGAGCUACAUGUGGUCAUCCGACACAUUUGAUCUUGCUGACACAUUUACAUCAUGGAAUUUCCCUACAGCUUCGUCAUCAGAGGGAAAUCCAUCAUCACCAUGGUUGAUGGAUUAUCAUCAGGGUUUUGGUGAUGAUGGGGAACUAGGGUUUGGUCGUUUUAGUGAAGGUGACAUUAAUACAGUGCUGGACAUGGCAGACAAGCUAUGACAAGAAAGGUGCACGCUCUUAAUGGAGUAACACUAUAUUAUGCAACCACGUGUAAAAAAAAAAAAACAAAGGAUAAAGCACAAUUUGGCUUUUACAUAUUUUCUAGUCUUGAUUACAAUUCUAUUUACUUUCUUUUUGGAUCCUUUUAAGGAGGAGAACGAAAAGGGUCAAUAUAAUAUGCUUAGGAAAUAAAGAUUUCUUUCGCAAAUCAACUUCUUUUUCCCCCUCUGCAAAGGAAAUUCUCACGUCAUCGUAAAAGCUAAUAAGCAUAGGCUAGUAAGUUGUCACUGUCAAUAUUGUGCCAAACGCAAUGAGAGAAAUCUUGGGAUUUCAAUCUUUUUUAUUGCUAACAAAGGCUACACCACAAUCUUAAAAGAAAAGUCGUCCAAUCUACGAGAGCUGUGUGAUUGAAACUUGCCUCUAAUUUAUUUGAAACCUUUUGGAAAGUGAAGAAAUUAAUGACAGUAACUGAGGAAAUUUGUUCAGAUUAUUAUUAGAAUAUGUGAUUGUGGUACAAUCUUUUCUUUCUUUCAACCAAUGGCCAAAAAGUACCGCAUUGGCAAAGCGAUCUAAAUGUUUGGCGUGAAUGUUUGGAAACAAAGUGAUCUUAAACUUCAGCUAUUUCUUUGAACAAUAAAAGUUCAUGACUUAACUCAUAUAUUCAAAAAUUAGCUCAAUAAUUGAUCAAUCUAAAUAUAUAUAUAUUAAUAAUUUAAAAAUUAAGUACUAGGAUGGUUACCACUUAUUAUAGUAGCUUUUCGAGGUAAUGACAAAGAUAUUUCAGUUUAUUUUUAAAAAUUUAAGGACCACUUAGAUGAUGCCUAACCGUAGGUGACUGAAAAAAACUUUAUAUAUCCAACUUUCUUGUAAGAUGUGUAAUUUAGAAGGUAAAAAAAAAAAAAAUUUAUUUCCAUUUUACAUUGUAAAAGGAAAAUAAUAUCAAUAUGAGAAAGUGGUAUCAAGUUUCAAAAAACGGUAAUAUGUCAAUUUAAAAAUUAAAAAUUUGAUAAACAUUAGCAUAUCAUGAUAUUACUUUUGAUGUGAUCAGAGUCUGAGAGGUUGGAAAAUAUGCGUAAGACAUAUAGAAGUUUAUUCCGUAAUUGUAUUUACCAUAAAUAAUUAUAACCGUUUUAGAAGAUUUAAGCUGACAGUUUGGAAGUUAAAAUAUGCAAAAACUUAACAAUUGUAUACAUAAAUGAUAAUAACAAGUGUGACAGUAUCAAAAUGUUCAAGAAACUUAUGUUGUCAGUAUAUAUACCAAUAUUUAAAACUGAACCAAAAAAAAAAAAAAAAUCUUCAACAUCCUAAAGAAGCAACAUGGACAUAUGAACUAAUGAUAAACAUCAAUAUAACAUAUAUAUCACUGUCAGUAUCAAUAUCUCGAUUUAGAAAAUACAAAAAUAAUGUUAUAUCUUCAUGAAGACUAAAAUAUUUUGUUUUAAGGGUCAUAAUUGCUAUCCAUGCAAUUUGAUCAAAUCUUGUCAUUGGCUCGAUCACUAAUUUUUUUUCUACUAAAAAUCUUUAUCGUAUCUAUGUUUUUAAAGAGAUCAAUUUUCAAGAAGUUAGGUCAAAUGAUUGAUGGUUAAGACUCUCAUUUCUUAGUUAAAAAAAAAAAAAAGACGCGACAUAACAACUAGUAUUUAUCAAAUUAGCUACCUGUCUUUAUAAAAUUAUAAAGAAGAAGACUCACCAAAGCCUUUUACUGUGUCAACAUCAACCUUUGAAGAUGCUGCGGUACAAGGUAUUUGGCGAUGGCAAUGCCCACAAUAAUUCCAUCAGGGUUUUAAUCUUAGUUUCAAGAAAACACAAAAUCAAUCAACAACCAGAUAUAUUAUAUCAUGGAAUAAAAAAAAAAAAUCUCUUUACUAAACAAAUUUGUUGGCUCUAUAUAUAGUUGCUGAUAAUGAGAUUAUUACAUUAUUGAAGGCCUUUACAGCUAAUAAGCAACAUGAAGUCAUCUUAAUUAAUCACAUCAUAUACAGAUCAAUCUUUGAUUAAGUCCACCAAGAAGGGAUUUAAUUAACAAACAAAUUAAUCAAGCUUAUUUCCUUGUAACAAUGGACGAAUUUUGUAUUAAUUUGGCAAAAGGGAUAUUUAUCACGAUCGAUCAUUUAUAUCAAUAUUAACAUAAUUGAAACUCAAACUGAGAGUCCAAUGAUGAGAAGUAAACCUAACUUGGAAAAUAUUUCAAAGAUUCUUGCGCUUGAAACAGACAAAUUAAUAUCUCGAGUUGUCUCAUUUAGAGAAGCUAUGAUAUUUUUUCUUCGAUAAUAUAGUAAAAUUUCUGUGUAAUAAUACUCUAUAUAUGAAUAAUUUUUAUUUAGUCAUAAAACACCAUGGUCUCAAUAAUUUGGACCAGUUGUAAAUAAUAAUAAGUUUUAUAUUAUAAUAUGUUAUAAUUUUUUUAAAUUUCCUUUGAAGGAACCUCCAAACCUACCUCCACAUAGUAAUAAUUAUCUAUAUAUUACAAAAUUAUAUGCUAAUUCUUUUAAAUCAUAUCUAUCUCUAUUAUCAAUGUCUAUACAUUGGAUUUGACAUGCUUGAUUAAUUAAUUAUUAAUGCAGCACAUAUUUUACCUCUAUAUCACUUGUAUGAAGGAUAAUUAAGUCAAAACAAUAUUUUUUAUAACUACAUCUCUAUUAAGUUAUAACAUUCUCAAAGUAAUAAAAUUAGUUUGGUCUCAACAUUAUGAUUAUAAGAGGUUUUACUGUAUAUAAGGUAAAUAUUCAUUGACCACCUAAUGUUUUGCACUUUAUCAAAAAUGUACCAAAACUAUUUUCUUUUGCAGCUAUUCACUUGAAGUUUUGCAAAGUGCAUCACUUUUUCACUUUUCCAUUAACACCAUAAGAGGAGUUAACAAAAUAUUGAUCAAAUAACUAUUUUGCCCAUGAUCAUAAAAAAUAUAUUUAAUCCAAGCUAAAUGAACAAAAAAAUAGAUUUUAUUUUGUAGUUGUUGGGACCAAUAAUAACCACAAAAUUAACUAUAUAAACUCAACAAAUCUACUAAUGUAAAGAUAUAAAAUCAUUAAAAUAAGCAUCCUAGUUAAUUUAUAGCUCAUGAUAAAAAAAAAAAAAGGCCUCAUAUCAUCCAUCUUGAAUAACAUGUUUUGGACAACAAUGACAAAUCUUCAGCAAUAAUAAAUAACUAAUAGAAACAAUUAUAGGUAUAAAAAAUAUUUCAAAAUAAUCCUAAAAUCAGUUUUGGGAAACGUUGAACGUUAUAGUUUGUUCCCAUAAAAAAGGUAAAAAUAUAAAACCAGUUAUUAGGAACUCAAAGUUCACAAUUUGUUACCAUUAAUCCAAAACAACAACACAUUCUGAAAAUAUCUAGAAUAACAAUCAAUAAAUAAUCUUUUUAUUUCGGGAGUGAAAUAGGAUUUGUUUAAGAUUCUAUUUAAUCCUCUAAUGGUAUUAUUAGAAAAGCAGAAAAAUGAUAUAUUUUAUAAACUUAUCGGGUGAAAAACUUCUAUAGAAAAAAAUUUGGUGUAUUUUUGACAGAUUGUGAAAUAUUAGGUUGUCACGGGAUAUUCGGCAACAUAUAUAAAGUUGAGGUCCCAAAAAUGGCAUUCACUUUAUCUAUCUUUAUAUUAGUAAAAGUAUUUUAAUUAUGAAAUUUAGUAAUUAGUAUUCAUAAAGCUCAUACAAUUGAAUACUAUCAAAAGCCAGGCCUUUUUAUUUAGUUGAUUAAAUAAACAAAAAGAUUGUACCCUAAUGACUUGAUCUUGAUGAUGAUACAUGAACGAUCAUUACGUCAUAAAUAAAAUAGGACAAAUAGAUGACUUAUUGUUAUUGUUUUAACUUAUUAUCAUUACCUUAAGGUUAUUCAUACACUUUAGGAAAUUUUCGCUGGUUCAGUUGAAAAAGAUUACAGGCCCCCUAUCAUUAUUCUCUAACUUUGAUGCUGAUAACGUAUCAUAAAAUUGGCUGCUAGUGCCCAUGAUUUUCAAAUGUGUACAAAAGUGGGUACAAAAGUGGGCGAAGUGGAAUGCCGACUCACUGUGAUAAUUCGCAUUGGGAUGUCAAUUGGGUCGUUGUUUCUUAAACAAAGUAAUGGUUUAUCAUUGCAACAAAGAAGAAGUUGAUUCUUAAAAGUUUUGCAGUUCAUUUUUAUUGGCCACCAAUAAGUUCAAAGGAGGCUAAUCUGUGGUGUACUCUACCUACCUGCCAUCGUCAUUCAUCAUAUUAUAUUUGUUAAAGUGCAUUGCAAGAAAUAAUGAUUUGUUUAGAUUAUUGGCUAUGAAAAUGGCCUAUUGUAUGGCUGGGAAUUUUUUUUCAUUUUUUUUAUAUAUAUUAUGCCUAGAUUAAACUUAGAUAUCAUUUAGAUAUAAUGGCUCAAAAUAGGUUAGAUAUGUUUCUAUUAUUUAAAAGAAAACUUACAAAUUAUAAUAAUUCACAAUUAGAUAUUGCUCGCUUUGGGCACAGCUUAUCACCAUUUCAUUUUUGAACGUUCUAACCCAAAACCCGUAUACUGAAUUAAGGGAACUAAAGUUAUAAACUAGUAAAGAAAUUCUCCUGCUAGUGAUGUAGAGUAGAAAAACUCUCUCUAAUGAUGUAGAUUAUAACGCUUACAACAUCACACUAUCAAACACAGCCUACGUAUAUACAUCUAAUUGACCAGGCAUUGGCGGGCUUCCAUUUUAUUUAUCAUCUAUCUAUAUUAUACAUAUCCCACAAACUUUGGAAAUAAUCAAGAAACCAAAUUGCACUGUUUUCUCCGAAUUGGAGUCGAAGAAGAAUUGUGGAAAUUGGUUAAAACCAUGUUUGACGAACCAAUGGCACCAGUAACAGUCCCUUCGGAAAUUAUUCGCGUUUGUUAAGAGAACAAAGGGAGCUUUUAAAAACUGCAUACUUAUAAGCACAGAUUAUAUUAUAAGCCAACUCAAAUCUGGCAAAAGGUUAUUUCAAAGAAAGGCAAAUUAAAAGGAAAGGCCAAUAUGAAAACAUUUAGACAUAUGAAGGUAAAAGACCACUAACAUAGCCUACAAUGAUAUGGACUCAAAAUUUCAUCUAUUAGAAAGAAUAUGCAAAUAUAUACAUGGAAGAAAAGCGCUCAAAAGAUGUAAGGAAUAAGAUGAAAAUCAAAAAAAUAAAAUAAAAAACUGCCACUUUUAUAUGGAUGAUCAAAUGACGCAGAUAAGACCACUACAACUAUGGUUAAGCAGGUUCAGGAAGAUGAUCCUGCAACCAGAUUUACCUAUAUUUCUUCAAUCUAUAUAGGAAUCUGAUCGUGAUGCAGGUAGAAUUAACCAGGAAGCUAUACGAAUAGAAGUGUCAUAAGUUGAACUAUAUAUGUGUGCUAAAGUAACCAUAUAAAUUUGUCAUGGAACAGAUGAUUUGGAGGCCUCUGCCGAUUCCUUGGCACUCUUCACCACCAGAUCAUAAUUGAUAGAAGCCAGUUGAGACAGGUUCUGAGAAAACAAGAAGAAAUUUCAAAAUUUCUAUUGCAGUUCACAAACUGAUGAGCAAAUAUUUGAUGCUCAUCAACAUCUUCAUUUAAAAACUUCUGAUUAGGAUAAAAUUUUGGUCCUCAAGAGUUUGCUUUUAGUUUUAGUAGUCUUUCAAAUUGAAAUAGACUUAAUUUUGUUGGUAAAAUUCUGAAAUUGGUUCUAUUUGGUUCAGAGAUUUAGGCAAAAGCCAAAUUUAUUCAAUUCAACCUUGAAGAAUUUAAUUUAGGAUUCAAAGAGUUUCCAAGUAUACGUUUUUUAUGGUGAUAAUAGGAUUAGAUAACAGCAUAUCACGAGAUGAGUGUAAUGCGCAGCAACCCAAAGCAGCUCUAAAAAAAAUAUGAGAUACUUGGGAAACAAUUUCCAAAUAAAUUUUUAUUAAGCUAGUUUUUAUGAAGCUAUGUAAAAUGCAAGAAAUUAAUUCAUUUUCAAGUACUUAAUUCAUUUUUAACUAAUAUUUAAGAGUUUUCUAACGGCAUUGGAAGAAUCUAGGAGUAGUAGGUUUUACCUUAAAUGAGAAAUUACUAAACGAGUACUGCACAGCAAGAGCAGGGGCACUAAAUUCUGCCAAGCUACCACACUCAUCAGCCUGCUUCACAGGAAAAAAAUAAAAAAAAAUGGUCAGGAAAAUGAAAUAUUGAUCCCAUAGCAGUAAGCCUCCUCAAAUUCAUGCUCAUAAACUUUGAUUUAAGUUCUUUCACACGUGCUUCCAAAUGUAUUCAAAUUGGCAUUCUCUAAAUUAGAUUAAUCAGAUUAAAGCUGUCAUCAAAAGAUACUUCCAUCAUAAUCUGAUCCACUGAGAGGCUUUUGUGCUUAGAGAUUGAUAGAUAAACAAAUGAAAACAUGUGUGCACCUCUUCGUCCAGAGUGUUACUAAACGAACCACUGCUGCAUGUGUCAGUCAAGUCGUCAAAGUCACUACCUCCCUGAACAUUUUCAUCUUCUGGAUUCCAUACAUAACGGCUCACAAAGUAACUUGUGUCCAGUGAUUCUGCAGCUGGUAUAAACAUAGCCUGCAGCCAAUAAGAGAAGCUACUCGAUAUUGCAAUUAGGUCAAUUACAGUGUAAACAAAGUUAAUAAGCUUGUAAUAAGAGGACCUUUUGUCUUGCAAGUGUGUCCCAGUUUAUAUUUUUGAAAAAAGGAUGUUGCUUCACCUGCCAGAAAAUUCUGCUUAGUCCUUUAAGUCAUAAUACAAUUUUAAGUCUUUGCUAGUACCUAAAUCUCAACACUUUACCUCUCUGGCGCCAGUGGCUCCCAGUCUUUGAACUGGAUUUUCAGUUAAUAAUCUGAGAUAAAAUGAAAUAUUGAUUGUUAGUGAAUAUGAAGGUAAGCCAGCUCUCAGUUGUUGAUUGAUAGGGGGGCCUUUAUUAUGAAAAUAACCAGCAGGUUAUGCCAGUAAUAAUUCUUACAUCAGUUGCCAUCAAACAUAAAAUAGUUCUCUUUCUAAUAUGGAUAUAUAAAACUUUGCAUGCAGUGACAUGAUUAAAAAUGGCUCUGCAAUUUCAACAGACAGAUAUUGAAUGAAUCUCUUUUAUAAAUCUUACUUGUCAAUUAAAUCGCAAGCCUCAACGCUCAUCUCCUCUGGUAUGUUUGGCCAGGGUAUAUCUCUAUUCAUAAUAUUAUCAAAAAUUUGCUGCAGACAACAGAACAUUGGUCAAUGAUGGCAGGAUGUUACCCAAUAAACAUCAAAAAGUAUAAAAUUGAAAAGUCAACAUUAUCAGUCGAAAUAUCAGUAAGAAUAUUCACUUAGAAUAUGUUAAUGAUUGUUCAACCAAAAGAAAGGAAUUAGCAUCUGAAGUCAUUUAGCUUAGGGACAGUGACAGUUUGAUUGCCCACCUGAGGAGUUUUGGCAUUGAAUGGAGGAAUGCCUAUGAGCAGCUCAAAAAGAAUAAUACCCACGGACCACCAAUCGGCAGUUGCUCCUGCAAAAAGAACAGUGUGGAACAUCAAUCAGUCUAUUAAAGAAAGAAAUCCACAUUACUUAUUUACAUAUACUACCCUAUUAGCAUAUAGUUUGCUAACCAUGUCCCAUUCCAAGAAGUAUCUCAGGUGCCAAAUAAUCUGGAGUGCCAGCAACAGAAUGCUUUUGGCGCUGUUCUCUAGUCAAUGGAGGUUGAUCUUUUAGUUCAUCAUUUACAAGAAACCCACCACUGCCAAGUGAAGGAGCUGAUAAGUCAUCUGUGCUGUGUAUAAGACCAACCUUAGAGAGCCCAAAAUCUGUCAACUGUAAUAUUAGGAAGUGAGAGCUGGCCAGUAAUGUUAUCACAGCAGUACAGGAGAAUAAAACAGUUCCCCAAGAUCGCAAAUAGUGGAAAGACAAAAAGAAAAAAUAACAGUUAUUACAUAAUCUUACUACUAAUUGGACAAGAUCGACUCAGGUCCCAGACACAAAAAGUUGAAUUUAUUACAUUAUGAAUAGUUUUUGUGCUGACCAUUCCUGUAACCUGAAUGUUUGACUGUUCACUGUCACCAAACAUAGAUGCAAUUGUUGGAUGCAUAGAAGCGAGAAUAUAAAAAUGCCUAGUGCUAGAAACAUAUCGAUGCAGUAUUCCAAUCUUAGCAGUAAGUUUAUACAAUAAAGCUUUCUUUGAAAAUGAUGAUCCAGCUACACGGAUUUGACAUACUUCCCAAGUAGGCAACAAAAUUUUCAGUUCAAAACAUAGUCAAUGAGGAAAUUAACCAGUAAAUAAAUAUGCUAUAAAAAAUGAGAAAUUCCCCCUACUUAUGUCAGAAAUUAAUCGCCCUAAACUGGUAAUUGAAAAUGAGAGACACUUUCUCUUAUUUGCUUUACUUUUAGCAUGAUUCAGCUUACUGGCAUAAAAUUACCUAACAAAUACAAACAGAAAGUGCUUCAUAUAGAAGCCAAUCUACUUUUACAAUUCUGAAAAUAUCAUUUGACAAGUAAACAAUGAGAUAAAAUUACAAAAUAUUGACCUUGAUGUGACCAUCUUGACCAAUCAACAAGUUGUCUGGUUUCAGAUCUCUAUGAAUGACAUUCAAAGAGUGCAAAUACUCCAAAGCAAGGACCUGAGAAAUAGUAGACAAACUAUUUGUACCAUUGUGAGAAUUUUUUAUCAAGUUAGCACAAACAGAUAAAUCCUCGAAGAAUCAUAAAUGUGAAUGCGUCCUUACAAGUUCUGCAAUAUAGACACGGGCCAUAUCUUCAUCUAAGCAACCUAGAUUUCUCAGUAAAGAAUAGAGGUCUCCACCAUUUAGAUAUUCCAUCACCAGAUAAAGAUUUUCUCUGCAUGUGAACGAGUAGAAAAAUCGGACCUGUUCAUCAUGAAGUCGUGUUGAGACAUCAGAAAUGUGAGAUCUGCAUCUUAAAAUGAUUUUACAUUCUGAGAUCUACUUACCACAAAAGGAUUUCGAACUGAUAUGAGGAUAUUACGCUCAGCCAAAAUACUUUCAACUGCGUUUUUACGAAUCAUGUCAGCCUUCUUUAAAACCUGUAGAAAUGUUUUUAUCAAGUUAGUUACUGCAAAGAUCAUCUCAGUUAGACAAGCAUUCAUGCAUAACCGGGCACUUACAACCAGUGUUAUUACACUGUUGUUAAGAUAAUCAGACAAUAGAUAAAUCAAUUCAACUGAUCAGACACAUAAAUGUUAUCCUUUGAACAAAAGAUAGGCAAGUAACUACUCAUAAGACCAGUUAUGCUUUGCACCUUAAUUACAAACUUCAUAUAGUUUUAACUCAAAGCUAAUAUAUGUGGUUGUUGAUGACAUUAAAAUUAAGAAAUCUAUUGCAUUUUUUUUUAAUUUGUCCCCCCCUUCUUGAAUACCAAUCUUAACUUAAGCUUCCUCAUAAAACAAACGGGGGAAGAGUUUUGAAUGCACAUUGUGUACAUUUUCCCUUUCUGUUUAAACAGCAGCACCAAUAUCUCUUUCUCUGAGGGGUAACAUCUCUCUGGCUUCCAAGAUAAUACUCAUUAGACUUGCCUUGCCAUCGAAUAAACACCUUUGGUUGACAUCUCUCCUUAAAGAAGAAUGUUGGAAACCUAUAUAUAUUCUCUUUUUCUUGGCAGUUUUAAGACAUAAUGGUUAUCUUCAGCUUUAUUAAGAGUUAAUUAAAAAACAGUUCAAAUUGGAAUAAUAACUAAUAUCUAUUAUUGAAUUUCUAAUCAACAACUAGUCAUGAGCUACAUUUCUUUUUCAAAAUCACGUAUCCUCAGAUAAGCCUAACAAACAAUUGGUAUCGUGAAAAAACAACUUAAGGUUAUAUUUUAAACCACAUUUGCAUAAACAAGAGACCAUUUGAUAAUAUGAAAAUUUAACCCAAACUGAAUCAACAUUUCACAACUAUUUGUGGUACAGAGUGUAUCUAAGAUCAUAACUACUACAAUAAAAAGGGAAAAAUGUAUGCUCAAUCACAGAAAUUGUAAAAGCAUAACAAUUUAUGCAUCAAUCCUAUUCCUGGAGGCAUAUACUGACCUUUAUAGCAAAUAAGUCCCCGGUUGCUCUUUUUCUGGCAAGGAAAACUCGCCCAAAUGCACCUUGACUGAUUGGUUUUAUUAUUUCAAAGUCUUCUAUAGAUGUACGGUCUUUAGAACAUGGAUUGAUAGGGCUGGUACGCAGACUACGAACCGUAUCUUCAUCCAUUGAACUCUCUUCUUCAGUCAUGGCAUUUGAUGAGUCUAACUUUUCAUCUUCGAUCUGCCCACAAAGAUUUACAUAUUUCUCCCUGAAAUUUCACAAUAUCACUUAGACAAAGUUAGAGAUAUUAUUGCUUAAUGUUAACCCAAUCGUUGGGGGAAAAAAUAAAAAUGAACUGACAACAGAAACUAAGUAAACAGUACAUCUUGUUGUUAAAUAUGAAGAGAUUCAUUGAACCAGAAAGAAAUUUGACUGGUGAACAUCACAUUUUGUAUAACAGCAAGAAACAUGUUAACAGCAAGGUUUUUAGAAAAAGAUUAAAAUGGACUUACUGAAGUAGUUUCUCUAUACGCCUUCCAAAAGUUUCCACAAAAAGAGCAUCCACCUUCCUAUCCUGGAUGAUAUAUUUGAGUUCUUCUAAACGAUCAAGCAUAUGCUCCAAUGAAUUGUAGUCACAGUCAUUUACACUUGCAAUGGAUCGACUUACAUCCAGUAACUUUUUUAUCUGUCAUUCCAGAAUAAUAGUAGAAUAUCAAAAUUAUAGCAAAAAAUCCCUUGAAAUUGCAACAAAACCAGCCAUCAGGAUAUCCAACAGAGGUUCUCCUGAAGAGUUAAUACAGUAUGAUCGGAAAACAAACAUGGCUUCAAGUUAAUGCAAUAGCAUACCUGCUGAGGGUUUUGAAGCUCUGUUAUUGUUCUGUGUCCAUUCACCAGCAAUUCAAUUUGGCUUGUUCGUGGUGUUAAUAAUGGUGAUCUUGGUGUCAAGCUUCCCGCUGAUGAGGUUUUUGCAGCAAUAUCAGCAGCAGUAGGAUUUUUGUCACAGGAAAUUUCGGGCAAAACAUUUAGAUCUUCAAUGACAAAAGCAUUAUCAUCAUCAGGAACAUGAUCAAGCAUUUCUUCUGAGCCUUGACGAGACAAGCUAUUUUGCUUUGGUGACAUUAGGUUUAGAUUGUCGUGUGUACUUAAUGUAGACAUUCCUGCAACUUCAACACUUGCCCUAGGAGAUUCACCGCUUCUUGGUGUGCUUUUUGGUGACCAUGAAUCCAGAAUUUUUUCAAGAGUUUCUGAUACUCUUUCAAGACGUUCAUUUACAGUUAGACCUUUCAGAUCACAUCUAUCGGCAAUUGUACAUAUCCGAGAGUGCCCCUCAACAUGCACAACUGGUAUUUCAACCUCACAAAUACGGCAGAUCAUCGAAUUUUCGCCCCAGAAUCCCCAAGAUUUUGUUAUUCUCGAGGAUGCAUGAUGGUACAAACCAUCCAGAUUGUCAUUACCAUCAUCACUACCAAUUUUGGGUUCAUCUUUAUUUUGAAAUGCCUCUGUUUUAUCCUUGGGGGGUGUAUCAGCAGCAGCUUCAGAACCUUUUUUUCUCCGAGACCCAGAAGGAAGUCUCUUCCAAGAAGACAUCCUAUAGCUGCUUGUAGUUGAAUCACCACUUUUGGCCGUGCCAACCUCCACAUUCUCAGUUUCGUGUUGAUCAACUUGAUCUUCUUUCAAAUUAAGACUUCCUAGUUCCUGUCCAUGUGACUUCUUCCUCUGCUUCUCAUUCAUUACCUUCCCCCCAGUCAAUGGACCACUAAAGUCCUGCUGCCUAAUUUGCAAAAUCUGUUCCGGGUAAACCCCAAGAUCACUAAGUUGAUGAAGACCCAGAAUGUGUUCUUCCUCAUAACCAGACUCUUUCUGGAACUGAACAAGCCUAGUGCAUCGAGUUAGAAUAAAAAGAAGGCGAGUAUAAGCUUGUUUGAGAAUUCCCAUUGGUAGCUCUUGACGUCUAUCAUCUAGAUUCAAAACAAUACCUUCACAUUUCACCCAAAAUUCACUAGGUGACAUCGUGGCACAUUUUCGAGCGAUCACCAGCAAAUCCUCCAAACUCUCCUGCCAUUCAGGAUGAGAAUCUGAACUCUUUUCAAGUAUACCCACCAAAUCUCCUGCUAGUACUCCUAAAUCACAAUUAACUUCCUCCUUCAACUUAUCAAACUUUGCCCUGAUUGCCACCAUAAUCUCCUGCGGAAUAAUUAACAAAUAUACAUUGUGAACCUUAUAAAAAUAUAAUGUAAUACUCGGUUACAUAAUUAAAACUGAAUAUAAAUGAUUUUUAACCCAAUACUUACCGUGAGAACUUUUUCCUAGCAUGUAUUGUAAAAUUACACGUUUGAUUUCAAUUGCAUUAAUAAGCUCAAGGGAAGGAAGACAUACCUCCAUGUGACCAAAUGCGCGAGACUUCCAAACGGGAAAAGGCCGUACACCUUUGGAAUUGAGCUCAUGCGAGAAGCUCUUAAUUUCUGGCGCUUUCUUCUUCCGCCCACUUGUUACACGCAGUAUAGCCUGGAAACGAGGCGACUGCAUCUCUUUGGCAAAUGCUGCAUGACUAACCUAUUUAAAAAGCAUCACCAUUAAAUUAUGAACCCCCAUCACCUACAUUCCUUCAACCAAUUACAAUUAAUUAAGAUUAUUAAAAAAAAAUCUUAUUACCUCCAACUCCGGAUUCAGAGGUGAUGGAAAUCUUAACGAUUUUGAUUGAGUCCAUUGCCCCUUUUUGCCUAUACACAACAACCAUACAAUCUCAAAUUACGCAACCAAUUUUAUUUUAACAAAAAAUAUUUUUCCCCGAUUAUUUGUAAUUACGUCAUUAUUUAAUUAAUUUCACGUGUUAACGAGCAGAAAAGAAAUGCAUUAAUUCCUAUUCGUUUAGAAUCAAAUAACAAUUUAAAAUAAUAAAAAUAAAAAUACAACCUGAUUCCAACGACGGCGUUUUGUUGCUGGGAGGAACAGAAAAUUUAGGCUUGACGUCAGCGGCAGCAGUCUCAGUAUUAUUCUUCUUAGCCUCAUUCGUGAAACUCGAGGGAGUGCCAGCGGCGGAAAAGAACCUGAGAGGCGAAGGAGACGACGAAACGGACUUGGUUCGGAUGUGGUUCAAACCGAGAGAAGAAGCUACGAGUAUGGACGAUUCGUCGUCUCCUCUUGCUUGUUCCACAUUACUGUCGUCAUGAUGACGACGUUGAUUUUCCCCUUCGGAAUGAUCAUGCUUCCCGCGCCGAAUCGGGAUCGGAGGAAUCUUCCUUAGCUUGGUACGUGUCGUCGGAGAAGGCGUUGACGCUGGCGUCGGUGAUAACGGAUCUUGGUUCUCAGCAGAGCUCGACAUUGAUCGUCAAUUCCGUUGCAUUGUGAAAUUGUCUCUUUAAUUUUCUAUAUUUUUAUAUUUAUUUAGUUUUAAAAGAUAGAAUUGAAAAUGGAAGUCUUGAGAGGGGAGGAAAGGGGAAAGAGGUGAGAGAGAGAGAGAGAGUGUGUGUGUUUGAGGUUUUCGCGGGAAUGGAAGGUUUGAGGGUGACUCGCACGACACGAAGAUCAGAACGACAGAAGAAGAAAAAAAAUGAUAAAAGUUGUUAUUUUGGUUUCGGAGAGGAGAUCGUGUUUUGUGUUCAUCUUAUUCUUUCUGUUUUGGGAACGUGCAUGCAUGCCGCGAACUUGAAGCAUGUGUAUUAUUGGAUGUUAGUCAAAAUGUCACCUGCGGUUAUUGAAGAUUUCAAGAUGUAAGAGGAUACCGUCACUUUCUUGUGACUUCCUCAAUUGGGCUGACGCGGCCCAUAGAGAACUACACAGAACCCGGCCCACGUAGGGCACGGCCCAGUAUUUAGGUCUGGUCUUUGAAAUACAUUGGGAUUCAUUUUGAAGGAAUUUUAAAAUACAAGAGAAGUAAUACAAUUAAUUAAUAUAUGUAUAAAAUAUUAGUUGAAUUUUAUAUAACUACCAGUUGCAUGUUGGUUCUUUAAGGUAAAUACAUACAUAUCAUAACAUUAUUUAUUUAUUGUAUGGUUGACACAAUACCUCAUAGAUAUUUUAAAAUUGCUCAUAAUUUUGAUAUGAACAUUUUUUUAUACAAAUAAUAUGAUAGAAUAGUAACUAGUAUUAUACCAUAAAAAAUCAAUGAGGAUAGGGCCACAAAUAAUUUUGUACAAAUUAAUGUGUACAAACUGAUGUGACAUGAAAAAAUUGGCUAAAAAAUUAUAACAGCUAUUUUUCCAUUAUGUUGACCUAUAAUGAUUUUAUAUAACCAACCUCACUAUGCCACAUCAAGAAAUUCAACAAACAUGCACCUAGAUAUGUAAAUAUCUUAAAGAAAGGUGACUACUUCUAAAGUACUUAGCUUAUCUUUAUCUUGAUAAAAUAUGUGAGAUUAUCUUUAUUGAUUUCAACCAAAGUUAUAGUAAAUAUAUCAAGAAAUAUCAACAACUAAUGAAAUUAGACACAUGUCCAAGAUGAACUAUGGAUAAAAGAUAAUGAAUAUCCCAUAGGAGUAUUCCUCUUUAUCUACAAACAAGAAAAUAAAUGGGUCUUUUGACUUAGAGAGAAAAGGGUGAUCUUAACAAAUCACCUUAACAAAACCAAAUGGGUCUUUUAACCUUCGAGAAAGUGGGUGAACCAAGGAAAUACGAUUAUAUAACUUACGUGCAUGGUAAAAGAGUCCUUAGGCCCCCUUAAUCCCCCUCUUAGCUCCCUAACACUUAUUUUUCAUUUAUUGCUCUCUUAUUCUCAUCUCAUUUCCAUAUGCGUGUUUAAGCUUAAAUACAUUAUUUUUUGUCUAAAAUCUAGCAUAAACCUUAAAGAGUCUCAUUGUUGAAUUGAGCGUCAAAGUGGACUUGCCACCUAGAGCCCAUGUCAUUCUUAGCCCAUUUUAUUCUUCUCAUUCUAGGGACAGCAAGGUAAAUAAUACAUUAAGAUAUCACAUCGAGGUAACUAAAUAGAUGAUUGAGAAGAUGGGGAAGAUCAACUAAGAGGGAACAAUCUCACCAAACUGUCACAUAUCAUCAUUAGUUAGUGACUUUAAAAGAGUUUUAGAAGAAGAUUCUCACCUCUUCCUUUCUAUUUCUACCAUGAAGGACCUUAGUAAUAAGGUGGCCGAGAUUAAGGUCAACUUGUAAAGGAGAAACUAGCUUAGCUUGUUGCAAUUAUGUGUUAUUUUCUUGUUGUAUUUGUAUCAUUGGAUAUAUUUUGUAACUAUUAAAACAAACCAAAAGUGAGCACCCACCUUUUCCAUCUCUAGUAUUUUACCGAGGACACCUAGGUGAUCUAGCCGCCUACCGGUGCACAAAAAUUCUUGGAUCAACAAGUAGUCCACAUGGCUCCAUCUUAUAUGGGAUCAUACGUCUAAUCUUUGAUAUUCAACUUUCUAUUUCCAAGUACACAUACACAAAUUAAAUAUAAUCUAUGUCCAUUACACCUUAUAAUCUUCCUCCAAGUAUUAUAAAAUGUUAAACCCUAGUUUCAAUCAUAAAUCUUGUAGUCAGAAAAUGAGAAAAUAACGAUUUGAAAAUAUCAAAAUUGGUGGCUAGAUAGAAACUCUAUUAUUCAAAAGAGUAGAGCCUUU
rnacentral:lncRNA from 1 species